rnacentral:tRNA from 1 species
AGUUGGAUAAGCUAAUUGGGCUAUUGGGUUCAUACCCCAUCUAUAAAGGUUUUACUCCUUUUCUUUUUAAUU